rnacentral:rRNA from 1 species
GUGAAGCCCACCUCAAGAUGAGAUUUCCCAUAGCAUAAGCUAGUAAGACCCCUUGAAGACUACAAGGUUGAUAGGUCAGAGGUGUAAGUGCGGUAACGUAUUUAGCUGACUGAUACUAAUAGGUCGAGGGCUUGACCAA